rnacentral:rRNA from 1 species
GACGAACGCUGGCGGCGUGCUUAACACAUGCAAGUCGAACGGAGUGGCGAACGGGUGAGUAACACGUGGGUGAUCUGCCUUGCACUUCGGGAUAAGCUUGGGAAACUGGGUCUAAUACCGGAUAGUGCAAGAUGAGCUCGCGGCCUAUCUGCUUGUUGGUGGGGGAAUGGCCUACCAAGGCGUCGACGGGGAGCCGGCCUGCGAGGGUGUACGGCCACAUUGGGCCUGGGCGACUGCGCAGACUAGUACGGGAGGCAGUAGUGGGGAAUAUGGCACAAUGGUGGGGCGCCUGAUGGAGCGGCGCGGCGUGGGGGAUGAAGGCCUUCGGGUUGUAAACUCCUUUCGACAGGGACGCGGUAGCUGUAGAAGAAGCACCGGCUAACUACGUGCCAGCAGCCGCGGUAAUAC